GGCAACGCCACACCUUGCCUUUAUCACAUCUGGCCGUCAACGUAACUAGCCAUCUCCAACGCCAUCUGGCAACAAUCAGCAGCGUCGGGGAAGCUCCCGGGAAACGUCACACCUUGCCUUUAUCACAUUUGGCUAUCGAUGUAACUGGCCAUCCCCAACGCCAUCUAGCAACAAUCAGCGGCACUGAGGAAGCUCCCGGGCAACGCCACACCUUGCCUUUAUCACAUCUAGCUGUCAACAUAACUAGCCAUCUCCAACGCCAUCCGGCAACAAUCAGCGGUGUUGGGGAAGCUUCCGUGCAUUGCCACACAUAUCGCCUCCACAUAUAAGCCACCGACCAGGGCCCCGUCGCCCCUGCCUUCUUUUCCCGUCAUCUCCCUCUUCCCUUCUUUGUUUCUCCCGUUUACUCUCAUCUUCCUCUAUCUCUCUUUCUCUCUGUUACAGGGAAGCCGCCAUGGACGUCUGAGGUCCUCAGCUCCGACCCACGCCCCGGCGGCCCUGCCGACGUCGUCGCCUAGGAAGACUACCAUGCCCGUUGCAGGAGCUUCGAGCCGACCCCGCAGCAUGAAGACCGCCGCCGCCCGUUCGUCAUCGGGAAUCGCCAGAUCCGGCCCGUCUCCGACCUGCCUCCCCGUCCUUCGCCCGUUCCCGACGUCUCCCCGGCGCCAAGAGCUCAGGAGAGCGCCGCCACAAGACCCUGACUCCUCUGCCCCAGAUCCCGCCAUGGUGGUCAUCGCCUCUUCGUCUCUAUCUGUCCUUCGCCAGAUCCACGCUGGUGUCCUCGAGGGACCCGUCAUGGAGGUUGUCGCCUCUCCCAUCUCGAUCCGCCCGCCGCCGGAUCCACGACGGAGCGGCCGAGAUCCGCCGCCCGUUCCGCAACGCCUCGGCCCGCAGGAAGGCCAAGGGCCUCGCCAAGCAGCAGGAGGACUUGCCGGCUAGGCUCGCCUGCCGCAGGCGCGCCCGCGAGCUCACUCCCGUGCCCGCCGCGCUCUCAAACGCACGCCGGACGUCAGGGGCUUUUUUGCCAAAACGGAAUGUUAUCUCAAGAACACACUGAAAAUAGGACUGCGGGUUGACUUCAAAGAAAUAGAGGGACUUUUUUGCAAAAA